UGAGAUUGAACACCUGGUGCAGGGGUGCGGCCGUGCGGAAGUCUUUUUUUUGUCUCACCUUCCUGAUCUAUUUUCUCAUCAUUACCCCUCUAAAUUGUCCUCAGAUAUGUCCUUUUUUUGCGGGUAAUUUUUCUCAGAUACGGAGUAUGUCCGUUUUGAUUAUUACCUUUACCUCUCUGUGUGAUAUUGUUCGUCUGAUUAUUUUGUUUCAACCAUGGUAUACAUCAUCAUUUCCAGGAUAUUAGAUGUGAUGCCUGAGAGAAGAGGCUCUUAGGAAUAGCAAAGCUGGAGAUGGUUAAUUCGUUUUUGUGUUUUAGAUGAUCCUAUUUGACAUAAAUUUACCAUAAUUUUGACUAAAAGGACGAGAAGAGGAGGGAGGUAGCAGUGUGCGUACCGGUAGAGGAGGUGGCAGGAAAUAGUGCCGCUGAUGAUGGCAUGCUGAGGGGCGACGAGAUGGAGGCGGCCUUCGGCAUGGCAGCACAUCAAGAUGCGACGCCCGGUCAUAUCCGUUUGUUGUUCUGUCCGCUGAGAUGCUCACAUGCGGGAGAUGUGUCCUACCAAGAACCCGGUAGGGCUAGGCUGCUCUGAUGGUACUGGUCUCCUCUUUACCCUUUGCAUUGCCUGUUGUUACUGAUUCAGCUAUCCUACUUUCAUUUAUUUCUGUGACAAAUCAGGCUGGAAAUUGUGUGGGUGGGCAUUCAGUAACUUCCACAGCUAUUCAGAACUAAAUUCUUGGAUGUUAACCCAUGGUUUUUCUCUGGUUAUUUACGCCCAUCAUGAAAUCAGUACCAGCGAGCUCCGUACAUCUAUAUCCUUUUUUUCAGCCAGAGCCCCUUGCCAUGUCUUUCCACGGGAGCAUUAUCAGAUCCACAUUUACAGCUAAUGGUAAGGUUCUACAUACCGAAGUAACUAUACCAUCUACUGGAUCAAGCCAAGACAGAAUUCAUUAGAGAUAAUGUUAUGGUUAAGAAUCCGAUCAUCUUUCUUCCCAAGGUUCUCCACUACUAUGCAAAGGCCAAAUGAUGUUGAAUUAGAGUUGCCUGAUCUGAUUGACAUGGUAUGCAAGAGCAUGCCUCAUGCCCAACAAAAAGAAAUGAGGAAACAUCUCUGGAGGACGAUACAUAGCUUGACUUGAGAAGUGUAUAUCUCAGAUGAGCAAGGCAAAACUAUAAAAGUUGUAGUGAUUUGGAUAAGGUCCGAAGCUAUAGUUCCUACAGAAGCUCAGCUUUAUGGUAUCGUCUCAAGGAUAAUUUCUAGGAGAGGGAUGAAGACCCUUGCGCACGAUGAAAAUGGAGAACCAACUUUACAGACAGGAAACAUGAAUGUACAAAGAGGUCCUCGAUUAUGUCUGGACGAUAUAUGUCAAUAUAUGUACAUCUUCAUUGCUUAGUUUGGAAAAUUCCACUACUAUGUACAGAGCAUAAGCUAACUACUCGGUUUUAAUUGUAGAAUCAGAACUAUGUUCAAGGGCUCAACCCGAAGCUGAUGCAACUUAUGGUUACAGAUUUUCGGUGCUCAAACGAUCAAUGAGAAAUAGACCCCUUGCAAACAUAAUGGACUUAGGCUAGACAGAAGUACCAUAUACAGUGUUCUCUUUUCUGUACUUUUUAGCUACUCUCUGUAUUCUUUGUUGUUGUACAUGGCAAAGAACAAGUAUAUCAGGAGUCUCUUUUUA